rnacentral:rRNA from 1 species
AAUACCUAGUGGCGCACGGGUGAGUAACGCGUGGGAACGUGCCCUUUGGUACGGAAUAACAGCGGGAAACUGCUGCUAAUACCGUAUAUUCUCUUCGGAGGAAAGAUUUAUCGCCAAGGGAUCGGCCCGCGUGAGAUUAGCUAGUUGGUGGGGUAAUGGCCUACCAAGGCGACGAUCUCUAGCUGGUCUGAGAGGAUGAUCAGCCACACUGGAACUGAGACACGGUCCAG